GGUCGCGUGGCGAAAUGGCAUCGCGUCUGACUACGAUUAAGCAUCGUUUCUAUCAGGAGAUCGCGGGUUCGACCCCCGUCGUGACCU
rnacentral:tRNA from 2 species